CUCUGUGACUCCUACGGGAGGCAGCAGUGGGGAAUAUUGCACAAUGGGCGCAAGCCUGAUGCAGCCAUGCCGCGUGUAUGAAGAAGGCCUUCGGGUUGUAAAGUACUUUCAGCAGUGAGGAAGGUGGUGCAGUUAAUAGCUGUAUCAUUUGACGUUAGCUGCAGAAGAAGCACCGGCUAACUCCGUGCCAGCAGCCGCGGUAAUACGGAGGGUGCGAGCGUUAAUCGGAAUUACUGGGCGUAAAGCGCAUGCAGGUGGUUUGUUAAGUCAGAUGUGAAAGCCCCGGGGCUCAACCUCGGAAUUGCAUUUGAAACUGGCAGACUAGAGUACUGUAGAGGGGGUAGAAUUUCAGGUGUAGCGGUGAAAUGCGUAGAGAUCUGAAGGAAUACCGGUGGCGAAGGCGGCCCCCCUGGACAGAUACUGACACUCAGAUGCGAAAGCGUGGGGAGCAAACAGGAUUAGAUACCCUGGUAA
rnacentral:rRNA from 1 species